GAAAGUCCAAGGUCAAGUGGAUGCAACUGAUGGUGUUAGAAGUGGGGUCUGAAGUAGAGCCUCUAUAAGAACCCCAGGAGUGCUGAGUGAACAAGCAAGGUAUCUGCUGGAGCUACUUGUGUCCUUUGAUCUCUCAGCAGCUGGAGAUCAUGGAGCUGAACUUCUGAUGUGUGGAUGGGAGGGGAGAUGGCAUAUGGCCUGGUGAAAUAGGAAUUCUUCAUUGUUUUUUCUAGCAUUCAUUUGGUUACUUCCAGUGUUUUAAAAUAAAAUAUUUGUCACAAACAAAUGAAAAAACAUUCCAUGCUCAUGGAUGGGAAGAAUCAAUAUCGUGAAAAUGGCCAUACUGCCCAAAGUAAUUUAUAGAUUCAAUGCUAUUCCCAUCAAGCUACCACUGACUUUCUUCACAGAAUUAGAAAAAACUACUUUAAAUUUCAUAUGGAAUCAAAAAAGAGCCUGUAUAACCAGGGCAAUCCUAAGCAAAAAGAACAAAGUUGGAGGCAUCACGCUACCUGACUUCAAACUAUACUACAAGGUUACAGUAACCAAAACAACAUGUUACUAGUACCAAAACAGACAUAUAGACCAAUGGAACAGAACAGAGUCCUCAGAAAUAACACCAUGCAUCUAUAGCCAUCUGAUCUUUGACAAAACUGACAAAAACAAGCAAUGGGGAAAGGAUUCCCUAUUUAAUAAAUGAUGUCGGGAAAACUGGCUAGCCAUAUGCAGAAAGCUGAAACUGGACCCCUUCUUUACACCUUAUACAAAAAUUGACUCAACAUGGAUUAAAGACUUAAACAUAAGACCUAAAACCAUGAAAACCCUGGAAGAAAGCCUAGGCAAUACCAUUCAGGAUACAGGCAUGGGCAAAGACUUCAUGACUAAAACACCAAAAGCAAUUGCAACAAAAGCCAAAACUGACAAAUGGGAUCUAAUUAAAUGAAAGAGCUUCUGCACAGCAAAAGAAACUAUCAUCAGAGUGAACAGGCAACCUACAGAAUGGGAGAAAAUUUUUGUAAUUUAUCCAUCUGACAAAGGUCUAAUAUCCAGAAUCUACAGAGAACUUAAACAAAUGUACAAGAAAAAACAAACAACCCCAUCAAAAAGUGGGGCAAAGGAUAAGAACAGACACUUAUCAGAAGAAGACAUUUAUGCAGCCAACAAACAUAUGAAAUAAAGCUCAUCAUCACUGCUCAUUAGAGAAAUGCAAAUCAAAAUUGCAAUGAGAUACCGUCUCACGCCAGUUAGAAUGGCUAUCAUUAAAAAGCCAGGAAACAACAGAUGCUGGAGAGGAUGUUGAGAAAUAGAAGUGCUUUUACACUGUUGAUGGGAGUGUAAAUUAGUUCAACCAUUGUGGAAGACAGUGUGGCGAUUCCUCAAGGAUCUAGAACCAGAAAUACCAUUUGACCCAGCAAUCCCAUUACUGGGUAUAUACCCAAAGGGUUAUAAAUCAUUCUACUAUAAAGACAUACACACACAUAAGUUUAUUGCAGCACUAUUCACAAUAGCAGACUUGGAACCAAUCCAAAUGCCCAUCAGUGAUACACUGGAUAAAGAAAAUGUGGCACAUAUACACCAUGGAAUACUAUGCAGCCAUAAAAAUGAUGAGUUCAUGUCCUUUGCAGGGACAUGGAUGAAGCUGGAAACCAUCAUUCUCAGCAAACUAACACAGGAACAGAAAACCAAACACUGCAUGUUCUCACUCAUAAGUAGGAGUUGAACAAUGAGAACACAUGGACGCAGGGAGGGGAACGUCACA
rnacentral:lncRNA from 1 species